rnacentral:rRNA from 1 species
CCUACGGGAGGCAGCAGUGAGGAAUAUUGGGCAAUGGGCGCGAGCCUGAACCAGCCAAGCAGCGUGAAGGAUGACUGCCCUACGGGUUGUAAACUUCUUUUAUAAAGGAAUAAAGUGAGGCACGUGUGCCUUUUUGUAUGUACUUUAUGAAUAAGGAUCGGCUAACUCCGUGCCAGCAGCCGCGGUAAUACGGAGGAUCCGAGCGUUAUCCGGAUUUAUUGGGUUUAAAGGGAGCGUAGAUGGGUUGUUAAGUCAGUUGUGAAAGUUUGGGGCUCAACCGUAAAAUUGCAAUUGAUACUGGCAGCCUUGAGUACAGUUGAGGUAGGCGGAAUUCGUGGUGUAGCGGUGAAAUGCGUAGAUAUGACGAAGAACACCGAUGGCGAAGGCAGCCUACUAAACUGCCACUGACAUUGAUGCGCGAAAGUGUGGGUAUCAAACAGGAUUAGAUACCCUAGUAGUC